GAAGGUAAAGGCGAUGGCUCUGGGCGUCAAGAGGAAUAGUAUUUGAGGCUAGGAAAGAUCGUUGUAGUGGUUUUAGGCUUAUGCUAUGAGACAUUUUGUGCCUAUUGGUUUGGCCAAAAAUUGUGAUGUAAUUUAUGGAUGUUUAACUUUAGUUGUUUGAAUGAUGCUUAAGUAUUUGUGCUGAUCCCCUUGUUUUUCAUUUUUGCAUUUUCAUAAAUCCUUUGAGGCUGAUUGUACGAGAAGCUUCUCUUGGAUUUAUGGCAAAACUCGUAGCAUAAAGGAACGAAAAUCGUCUUUCUUUUCAGAAAAAACGUCACCCCCCUUGCUCCUUUGUGCGAGGCUGCCAAGCAUUUGUGGUGUCCACGCUUUUAGUCAUUGAAUUUCUAGGCUUGAUGUUUGGUUAUAUGAUAAAAAAACAGCAUCGGAUUUGUCGCAAAACCCUAAGAACAAAGGAAUGAGCACCGUUUUCUUUUUUGAAAAAAUGUCAACCUCCCCCUCCCCAUUCCUUUGUGCGAAGGUUUUGCUUGAGCAACCAAAGC
rnacentral:lncRNA from 1 species